rnacentral:tRNA from 1 species
GUAAGCAUAGUUUAAGAUAAAACAUUAGCAUGUGGCCCUAAAAAUAGAAGCUAAGAUCUUCUUGCAUACC